UACAGAGGUCCCGAGCGUUGUUCGGAUUCACUGGGCGUAAAGGGCGCGUAGGCGGCGUGGUAAGUCAGCUGUGAAAUCUCCGAGCUUAACUCGGAACGGUCAGCUGAUACUGCUGUGCUAGAGUACAGAAAGGGCAAUCGGAAUUCUUGGUGUAGCGGUGAAAUGCGUAGAUAUCAAGAGGAACACCGAUGGCGAAGGCAGCUCGCUGGGACGGUACUGACGCUGAGGCGCGAAAGCGUGGGGAGCAAACAGG
rnacentral:rRNA from 1 species